CGGGUGAGUAACGCGUGGAUAACCUGCCUCACACUGGGGGAUAACAGUUAGAAAUGACUGCUAAUACCGCAUAAGCGCACAGUACCGCAUGGUACAGUGUGAAAAACUCCGGUGGUGUGAGAUGGAUCCGCGUCUGAUUAGCCAGUUGGCGGGGUAACGGCCCACCAAAGCGACGAUCAGUAGCCGACCUGAGAGGGUGACCGGCCACAUUGGAACUGAGACACGGUCCAA
rnacentral:rRNA from 1 species